CAAUUGGGGAUUUGAUGGUCGCAAAUUCAGUUUACUGGCGACGCGUUAGCGGAGACAGUAAACGAGUAUUUGCGAUGAUGCCGUGGAGCUAAAAUACAAUAUUGUUUCUCCAUUCUAAGGAAACUGUCAGAAAACAACAUUAAAACAUGUAUUUAAAAUCUGUCAUAUGCCGUCUGCGCUUGCGCGUACCUCCGAUAGCAUCAAUUGUCAAUUGAUGCCAUGUAAAUAAGUGACGUUAUCCAAUCAAAAUGAACGUUGCAAAUGUUGUUGCAUUAGAAUU
rnacentral:lncRNA from 1 species